GGAAGGAUCAUUAACACUAAUCCAAUCAACUCAACCGAGCCUAUUUGCUGUCGAAGUUUGCUCAAGGUCUGCCUUUACUGGCGCCAGAGUAUCUCCGGCAGCUCAUACAAACCUAAUCCACUGAAAGGACAGUAACUAAGCUUCUUCCAAAAAUCCAAAUUCUCAACGAUGGAUAUCUUGGUUCCCAUAACGAUGAAGAACGCAGCGAAGUGCGAUAAGCAAUGCGAAUUGCAGAACCGUGAGUCAUCAGAUUUUUGAACGCAACUGGCGCCGACUGGCUCUCCAGUCGGCAUGCUUGUUUCAGUGUCUCUUUAACUCCUCACCCAAACCUUAAUGCGAGAGAUACCCUUCUCUUGCUAAGCGAGGAGGCGCUCCUGCGCUCUGCUAGUGGCUUCACUUUCGGGUGAAGGCCGCACUCAAUGCAGCAGUCACAUUUUCUUAAUGUGAACUCAUUGAGGGCAGAGGCGUCGAAGCUCUUAGCUUCCCAGCGCCUGGUCCAAUCGACCUUUCUUUGCAUCUGAAAUCAAGCAGGACCACCCGCUGAACUUAAGCAUAUCAUUAAGCGGAGGAGAAGAAAUUAACUAAGAUUGCCCUAGUAACGGCGAGUGAAGCGGCAAGAGCCCAAACUGGAAAUCUGGCGCACCUCGUGUGCCCGAAUUGUAAUCUACAGAGGAUUCACUCAUGUGGCGGCGGCGCAGAAGUGGCCUCGAACGGCCCGCCAGAGAGGGUGACAGCCCCGUUCGUGGUGCCGCAGCCUAACCGAGUGGGUUUUCGAAGAGUCGGGUUGUUUUGUAUUGCAGCCCUAAGUGGGAGAUAAACUUCUUCUAAGGCUAAAUAUAUAUGGGAAACCGAUAGCGAACAAGUACUGUGAAGGAAAGAUGAAAAGAACUUUGAAAAGAGAGUCAAAAGACUUGAAAUCGUUGAGAAGGAA
rnacentral:misc_RNA from 1 species